rnacentral:rRNA from 1 species
GUAGUCCACGCCGUAAACGAUGCUAACUCGUUUUUGGGUUUUCGGAUUCAGAGACUAAGCGAAAGUGAUAAGUUAGCCACCUGGGGAGUACGUUCGCAAGAAUGAAACUCAAAGGAAUUGACGGGGGCCCGCACAAGCGGUGGAUUAUGUGGUUUAAUUCGAUGAUACGCGAGGAACCUUACCAAGGCUUAAAUGGGAAUUGACAGGUUUAGAAAUAGACUUUUCUUCGGACAAUUUUCAAGGUGCUGCAUGGUUGUCGUCAGCUCGUGCCGUGAGGUGUUAGGUUAAGUCCUGCAACGAGCGCAACCCCUGUCACUAGUUGCCAUCAUUCAGUUGGGGACUCUAGUGAGACUGCCUACGCAAGUAGAGAG